GACGAACGCUGGCGGCGUGCUUAACACAUGCAAGUCGAACGGAAAGGCCCUACUUUUGUGGGGUGCUCGAGUGGCGAACGGGUGAGUAACACGUGAGUAACCUGCCCUUGACUUUGGGAUAACUUCAGGAAACUGGGGCUAAUACCGGAUAGGAGCUCCUGCUGCAUGGUGGGGGUUGGAAAGUUUCGGCGGUUGGGGAUGGACUCGCGGCUUAUCAGCUUGUUGGUGGGGUAGUGGCUUACCAAGGCUUUGACGGGUAGCCGGCCUGAGAGGGUGACCGGCCACAUUGGGACUGAGAUACGGCCCAGACUCCUACGGGAGGCAGCAGUGGGGAAUAUUGCACAAUGGGCGGAAGCCUGAUGCAGCAACGCCGCGUGCGGGAUGAAGGCCUUCGGGUUGUAAACCGCUUUCGCCUGUGACGAAGCGUGAGUGACGGUAAUGGGUAAAGAAGCACCGGCUAACUACGUG
rnacentral:rRNA from 1 species